rnacentral:rRNA from 1 species
CCUACGGGUGGCAGCAGUAGGGAAUCUUCCACAAUGGACGAAAGUCUGAUGGAGCAACGCCGCGUGAGUGAAGAAGGGUUUCGGCUCGUAAAGCUCUGUUGGUAGUGAAGAAAGAUAGAGGUAGUAACUGGCCUUUAUUUGACGGUAAUUACUUAGAAAGUCACGGCUAACUACGUGCCAGCAGCCGCGGUAAUACGUAGGUGGCAAGCGUUGUCCGGAUUUAUUGGGCGUAAAGCGAGUGCAGGCGGUUCAAUAAGUCUGAUGUGAAAGCCUUCGGCUCAACCGGAGAAUUGCAUCAGAAACUGUUGAACUUGAGUGCAGAAGAGGAGAGUGGAACUCCAUGUGUAGCGGUGGAAUGCGUAGAUAUAUGGAAGAACACCAGUGGCGAAGGCAGCAUACCGGCGCCCAACUGACGCUGAAGCACGAAAGCGUGGGUAUCGAACAGGAUUAGAUACCCGUGUAGUC